UCACUGUAAUCGGAAUGACUUGUCAAAUAUUGGAUCCAACCAUUGUCGCUAAUUUUACUUGUCGGUCAAAAAACUUGAACCACACCACGAACAUUAAGUCUUACGAAACUAUAUACCAGCCUGGUGUUAUAUUAAAUGAUUACCACAUAAAGGUGCAAGUAUACCGAAAAUUUGCAACGUCCUAUCGGCCAUUUUUGGUAACUCUCGAUCAGGACUGGUGUGCCUUAUUAAACGAUGAAAACUCAGUACUAUUCCACGUGUUAAACAUUAAAUACCGGCGAAAAUUCGGAAAUGCAUACGAUCCCUGUCCGAUGACGGGAAGACGAUAUCAAGAAGCAUAUGUUACGGAAUACGAAACAUUUCCUGAUAUACUACCGGAUGGUGAAUAUCGGUUGGAAGCUAUCGCGUAUUCUGUAAUUAGAGGAAGAAAGAGAAAUCUACUUCGUGUCGUUACAAUGGGAGUCAUAAGUCCGAAAACAGCAGAACA